GUCACGGCUGCAGUGAACCAUGAGUGUGCCACUGCACUCCAGCUGGGGCAACAGAGCGAGCGCGUGUCUUGAAAAACAAAACAAAACAAAACAAAACAAAUGACUACUUAAUAAAAAUAUAGCCAAUGAUGGGCAAAUGUAUAUAUAAAAUGAAAAUUAAAAACUUUUUUUCUUAUGUAUUUAAAAACUUUUUCCCCCUAGAAUCAGAACUACAAGGAUCAAUUAUCCCAGCUCAAUGUCAGGGUUCUUCAACUGGGACAGGAGUCUUCUACCCACCAGGCCCUAAAUGAGGAGCAUCGUGUGACCAUUCAGCUGUUAACACAGAGCCUGGAAGAGGUGGUACACAGCGGGCAGCAGCAGAGUGACCAAAUCCAGAAAUUUAGAGUUGAACUUGAAUGCCUGAAUCAGGAACAUCAGAGCCUGCCGCUGCCACAGUCAGAGCUGACCCAGACCCUUGAGGAACGUCAAGGCCAGGUGCAGGGAGCUCACCUGAGGCUGAGGCAGGCCCAGGCCCAACACUUGCAGGAGGUCCGGCAGCUGCAGGACUGUGUGGCCGAGCUGCAGCACCUGCUCAGCCUUCAGGGAGAGCAGGCCGGGAGGCGCCUGGAUGCACAGCGGGAAGAACAUGAGAAACAGCUGAAAGCUACAGAAGAGCGGGUGGAAGAGGCGGAGAUGAUUCUGAAGAAUAUGGAAAUGCUCCUCCAAGAGAAAGUGGAUAAGCUGAAGGAACAG
rnacentral:sRNA from 1 species